CCUACGGGUGGCAGCAGUGAGGAAUAUUGGUCAAUGGACGAGAGUCUGAACCAGCCAAGCCGCGUGAAGGAUGACUGCCCUAUGGGUUGUAAACUUCUUUUAUAUGGGAAUAAAAUGUUCCACGUGUGGGAUUUUGUAUGUACCAUAUGAAUACGGAUCGGCUAACUCCGUGCCAGCAGCCGCGGUAAUACGGAGGGUCCGAGCGUUAUCCGGAUUUUUUGGGUUUAAAGGGAGCGUAGGUGGAUUUUUAAGUCAGUUGUGAAAGUUUGCGGCUCAACCGUAAAAUUGCAGUUGAAACUGGCAGUCUUGAGUGAAGUAGAGGUGGGCGGAAUUCGUGGUGUAGCGGUGAAAUGCUUAGAUAUCACGAAGAACUCCGAUUGCGAAGGCAGUUCACUGGACUGCAACUGACACUGAGGCUCGAAAGUGUGGGUAUCAAACAGGAUUAGAUACCCGAGUAGUC
rnacentral:rRNA from 1 species